rnacentral:rRNA from 1 species
ACGUAGGGGGCGAGCGUUAUUCGGAAUUACUGGGUGUAAAGGGUAUGUAGGCGGCCCUUCAAGUCGCGUGUCAAAGUCCAGUGCUCAACGCUGGGUGUGCGCGCGAUACUGACGGGCUUGAGUGCUGGAGAGGUGAGCGGAAUUCCCGGUGUAGAGGUAAAAUUCGUAGAUAUUAGGAGGAACACCGGUGGCGAAGGCGGCUUCCUGGACAGUUACUGACGCUGAGACGCGAAAGCGUGGGGAGCAAACAG